GCGCCAAUAAAAUCUUAAAAAGUUGAGAAAACUCUUAGGGUUUUUCAUAUUAAAUGGUAAUAAUAAUAAAAUUUUAGCUCAAGAGCACUAUUAUAUUUUUAAAAUUGUUUGUAAAAAAAUAAUUACAUUCAUAGUAACUAUUUUUUAACAUUGAUAGAGAUAGAUGGUGGAAUGUAGUUGAAAUGUCAAAAGUCCUUCAAGGAACAUGAAAGCUGGAGAAGAAUACAUUUUUUUUUUUUGUAAGCUUAACAUUUUGAUUCAAGUUUUUGUGGUUAUUUAUAAGUAAUGUUACUCCAGUGGUAAAAAGAAUAAAAGUUUAGCUUAACAUUAAAAUUAUAUUUAAUAAUAUAAUUUUAACUCUUGAAAAUAAAAAUUUGAAACCUUUAAAAAAAGCAUAUAACAAUUUUAAGAAAAAAGUCAAAUAUUAUUAUAAAAAUAUUAUGUUAUACUAGAUUUUUUAAUUAGCUCAUUUGAGAUUAAUUUUUACUUGUGAUUUUACUAAAGCAAUAUAUUAAACUGUUAAGUCUACAGUAUACACAAGAUUAUUCACAAAUAGUCAGUCAGUAGUACACAUAUUAAUAUUCCAAUAAUUAUUUAAAAUAGCAUUUUAGAUCUAUUAAAAUUGACAACUCAAAUAAUUUUGUUAAUAAUUUCCAUUGAUUCAAU